rnacentral:rRNA from 1 species
UCUGUUUGAUCCUGGCUCAGGAUGAACGCUGGCGGCGUGCCUAAUACAUGCAAGUCGAACGCUUCACUUCGGUGAAGAGUGGCGAACGGGUGAGUAAUACAUAAGUAACCUGGCAUCUACAGGGGGAUAACUGAUGGAAACGUCAGCUAAGACCGCAUAGGUGUAGAGAUCGCAUGAACUCUAUAUGAAAAGUGCUACGGGACUGGUAGAUGAUGGACUUAUGGCGCAUUAGCUGGUUGGUAGGGUAACGGCCUACCAAGGCGACGAUGCGUAGCCGACCUGAGAGGGUGACCGGCCACACUGGGACUGAGACACGGCCCAGACUCCUACGGGAGGCAGCAGUAGGGAAUUUUCGGCAAUGGGGGAAACCCUGACCGAGCAACGCCGCGUGAAGGAAGAAGUAAUUCGUUAUGUAAACUUCUGUCAUAGAGGAAGAACGGUGGAUAUAGGGAAUGAUAUCCAAGUGACGGUACUCUAUAAGAAAGCCACGGCUAACUACGUGCCAGCAGCCGCGGUAAUACGUAGGUGGCGAGCGUUAUCCGGAAUUAUUGGGCGUAAAGAGGGAGCAGGCGGCACUAAGGGUCUGUGGUGAAAGAUCGAAGCUUAACUUCGGUAAGCCAUGGAAACCGUAGAGCUAGAGUGUGUGAGAGGAUCGUGGAAUUCCAUGUGUAGCGGUGAAAUGCGUAGAUAUAUGGAGGAACACCAGUGGCGAAGGCGACGAUCUGGCGCAUAACUGACGCUCAGUCCCGAAAGCGUGGGGAGCAAAUAGGAUUAGAUACCCUAGUAGUCCACGCCGUAAACGAUGAGUACUAAGUGUUGGGAGUCAAAUCUCAGUGCUGCAGUUAACGCAAUAAGUACUCCGCCUGAGUAGUACGUUCGCAAGAAUGAAACUCAAAGGAAUUGACGGGGGCCCGCACAAGCGGUGGAGCAUGUGGUUUAA